rnacentral:tRNA from 1 species
GCGGGAGUAGUUCAAUGGUAGAACUUCAGCCUUCCAAGCUGAUCACGCGGGUUCGAUUCCCGUCUCCCGCUCCA